GGAAAAUGAGAGGGCAUCAAGACUAGCAUACAUAUUUUCAGAUGACAAAUUUAUAAGCUGACAUUACAACCGUUUAUGUUACAACAUCAACCUCUAAAAGACACAUUUGUACAAGGAAAGAAGCUUUAGCUACAGCCAUCCAAGACACCCAGAAACAAAAGUUGCAAGGGCCUGAGCAGCAAGAUUUUCGGCUUCGUCUUUACUUGAACCUUUGCCUUGAAGGUAUUUCUUUGAAAUCUGGAAAGAAUGGUCACCACCAUCAAUAACAUGUAACCCACUAAUUGAUUUCAUCCUCUUCCGGAUAUCCUCCAAUUUCUCUAGAGGACACAGAGCAUCCCUGCUACCCUGUACAAACAUGAUAGGAACGGUAACUUGCAAUAAUGUCAG
rnacentral:misc_RNA from 1 species